UAUGGAAAUGGUUGUAUAUAAUGCAUAUACUGCUAAACAGCUAAGUAGUCCUUGGGGUUUUUAUGUUAAUUAUCUGUAUGUAAAUCAUUUCAAUCAGAGCAGUCUAAUGAGUCAAAAACUACUAGGAAAUGGGAGCAUAGAUUUGUAAUAUCUGUCAGGCUUUGUCCUAUACCAUGAAGCUCUGCUUCCUACAAGGUCCCUAUUUAGAAGCCAUUAAUGUAUCAUUGAAAACAAUUUAAUAUGAUAAGAGAAUAUGAUAUAUAGUACACUCUGGCGCUGACCUGGUGCUGCACCUUUUGUCCUUGCUGCUGUGUCGUGUAGUUAUAGCUUUCUCCCUGUCCCUUUUUGUUCCUCCUGGGGCCUAUUAGUGCAGCCAGCAUUUUAGGAUAGCACAAGACUUUUCACAAUUAUUAUUAGUUUCAUUAGUAUUUUUAGUCAGGGGUCUCUCUGACUUGCCUCCUACAUUGUGGCCCUCUGCUGAUGCUGAACUAGGCACCUGGUUGGGAAUAUCUUAGAAUCAUGUAGCUGCCCUUCUAGGUCUUUUCCCACCAAUGUACCCUGUAAGAAGUCUCCUCCCCUCCUUUUCAGGCUGCCCUGCCCAUUUCCUGCUCUACUGUCCCUCUUUCAUCCUGGAGUCUUUAUCAGCAUUUUUGUUCUCCUAUGCCUAGGCUGAAACACACACACACACACACACACACACACACACACACACACACGGGGGGGGGGGGAGAGUGAGAGAGAGAGUUAGAAUUAUGUUUUGAUAUAAUUAAGACUUUGGCACUUCAGUAGGACACUAAUUGAGGCUACUCCAGUUCUUGUUCUCUACUGCAGAGUAUCUAAUGCACACAUAAAGAGGUACACGUAAAGAAGAAAAUGGAAAAAGGGUUUCUCCUCUGCUCUCUGGUGGUCUUUCUCACUCUCCUUUUUUGUGUGGCUUCAAGAAAUAUUAAUAGCUGUAAAGUUUGAUAAUAAGUGAGUAUAUAGAAUACACUCAAACAAUGUGAAUGACAAAAUUAGGAUAGCAUUCAUGUUCUGUAAUUAAAGCUACACAGAUAAAAAGGAUAUACUUUGCCAGGCUUCAUUUGGAAGGAAGGGGGGCAGAUGGGGGGGGGAUGGGACAAAAGAGAACUAUAGCAAAAGGGACCCUUAUUUCCAAUGUAUUCUGUUCACCAUCAGUAGAAAUGGCAUUAAUUCAGGUACCCAAUUACUGUAAUGUGGUUCAGAGCACCUCAAUAGGUGUUUCAAUCUCAAGCCAGGACUAACAUUUGUAAUCCUUUAAAUGCACUUAAGAAAUUGAUGUUACAGCCCCACAAUCUGUUAGGGGCCUUGCUUCCUGGCUGAUUGCAAAGUAUCCCACCAUUAAUUGGAUCAUCAGAAUGUGAUCCGCGUCUCGGUCCUCGGAUUAUGUAAGACUGACUUUGCUCUGACGCGAUGAACCAGAGACUUCUUUUGCUGGAUAUUUUGACCCUUAAUGUAGAUAAGUGGUAUUUUUCAUCAAUCUUAGCUUGCAUUAAAAAAAGGGAAAUGUCAAUUCAAUGUGGGGCAUUUAACUUAAUUCAACAUCUUUUAAUUUAAUACCUUGGAAAAGUUAGUCUGUCUCCGACCUGCCUUACACUUCUGCUGAUGGAAUAUUUUGUAAAACACUGCUGAAAAUACAUAGUCUUCCUCUAAUAAAAUCAAGUUCUGAAAAUCUCUGCACCCUUGGGGUGUGUGAGGGGAGACAGGGCUUCAAAUGUGCAGUAAUUAUAAUGGAGUUACUUUUGCUGUUACAGACUUAAUUCCUGAAUAGUUUAUAUCUUUGUCUGAUGGAAAUAAAUGUGAUAGUUUAAAUUCAAUUUGUCGUUGUUCCUUGUUCUGCUUUCACUCUGUGCUCCAUAUUUCUGAGCAAGCUAUUGUGAAAGCUAACAUGGUUAUUUGAUCCAGACACAGUGUAUUAGAACUGAGAAGAUGAACUGUUCAUUCUUGCUCUGUUGCUUGAUUUUGGAGGGGUGGUGGUGGGACCCUUUAAUCAAACUUUAUUUUUACCCUGCUUUGUGCCCAGAAACCAACAGGCAUAACCAAGACCUCAAGCUUAUGUAAGCUGUUCUGAGAGCAAGCCCCAUGGAAAAUAAUGGGGCUUACAUCUUAGUAUGUUUUGGUUUGUGCUACAUGUUGCAUUGAAAGUAAGAGAGUUGUGGUUCAUUUAAGACCCUAUGAAAGCCAAUGCAUAUAGUGGCUCCUAAUUAUUGAUUUUUGCUGGAUUGUGCCCUCUUUUGGAAAUGGAGAUAAUAUAAUGUGUAAUGGUUACAACAAUUAUUUGGUUGAGAAAACUAUUUAGGACAGAUUCUAAGCACUGAAGAGUAAUAGCCCUCUCUUGCUGUAUCUCUGCAAUAGUUAAUGUAGUUAAUCCAUAAUGAUGUUUAAGAACACCAGUGUCUUUUCUAAUGAUAUUCAAUACAUAAAUGUCCUAUGAAUUAUAAAUGUAUCAAAAAUUUGCAUCUUCAUCUCGAUUCCCCUCACAGCCCAUGCAUACUGUGAGCACGCGUAUAAAGGGAUUGAUUCAGGAGAAGAAAGGAAACUGAGAGAGACUCCAAUAGCCUGUAUCGCUAUUACAUCUUUAUCCUGUCUGUUCUCCAAGGUUUCCUGUACUCUGUCACUCUGCUUGAAGUGUGUGUAGUCCUUUAACCUUAUUUUCAUUUCACAGACAGUUGAAAAUAUACCUCUGUGUCCACAUUUUGGGCUAUAGGUGAAGUACAUUCUAGACUAUGGUUGUGUUGCAUCCUGCUACUAACUGAAUGUCAUUGGCAGCACUGACUGUGAAUUAAUUAAUUAAUUAAUAUGUUUGGUUGGUUGUUCUAAAUAAUGUUACAUUUUUAAAGAUAUUUUUUUUUGUAUUUUGUGCUCUGGAGCCCCUGAGUAAAAGACAGGUUAUGAAUAUCAG